CUCUGUCGGUGGAGAGCAGAUGCUGCACGAGAGCCCCACAACAGAACCAAGCUUCCUCCAUGUUUUAUGGUGCAUCUUGGCACUUUCCAAUCAUGAUCUUGGACGAAGGCCUGGUUAUUCGGUUGCCAUUCUGCUUUUUGUGGACACGUCCAGUUUUCAGAAGGAUUUGGGGCUCCAACGCUGACCCAUGAUUGUUGCUACAUUGGUUCCAGGUGCAUACAAAUAUACGCUGACUCAGCCUUUUGGGAGGCAGGAAAGUCCUCGCAACACUUGAGGGACACGAGCAACUGGUCAGUUGUUUUGAGUUUGGUUUCUGGUCGACCUCAGCUGCUGACAGAGAUGAAGGAUGUUUCUGUGAUUCACUGCUUCUCCAUGCCAGACCACACCAAGACCUUCACAGAUGAAUAUGAGGAGCAGAAGACCAGGAAGAGG